GUGGGAGCGGGCUUGCUCGCGAAUACGGUAUGUCAGAUAAAUUGAUCGCGACUGACACUGCGCAUUCGCGAGCAAGCCCGCUCCCAC
rnacentral:antisense_RNA from 1 species